rnacentral:rRNA from 1 species
AUUGAACGCUGGCGGCAGGCCUAACACAUGCAAGUCGAACGGUAACAGGAAGAAGCUUGCUUCUUUGCUGACGAGUGGCGGACGGGUGAGUAAUGUCUGGGAAACUGCCUGAUGGAGGGGGAUAACUACUGGAAACGGUAGCUAAUACUGCAUAACGUCGCAAGACCAAAGAGGGGGACCUUCGGGCCUCUUGCCAUCGGAUGUGCCCAGAUGGGGUUAGCUUGUUGGUGGGGUAACGGCUCACCAAGGCGACGAUCCCUAGCUGGUCUGAGAGGAUGACCAGCCACACUGGAACUGAGACACGGUCCAGACUCCUACGGGAGGCAGCAGUGGGGAAUAUUGCACAAUGGGCGCAAGCCUGAUGCAGCCAUGCCGCGUGUAUGAAGAAGGCCUUCGGGUUGUAAAGUACUUUCAGCGGGGAGGAAGGGAGUAAAGUUAAUACCUUUACUCAUUGACGUUACCCGCAGAAGAAGCACCGGCUAACUCCGUGCCAGCAGCCGCGGUAA